rnacentral:rRNA from 1 species
GUGGGGAAUAUUGGACAAUGGGCGAAAGCCUGAUCCAGCCAUGUCGCGUGUGUGAAGAAGGUCUUCGGAUUGUAAAGCACUUUAAGUUGGGAGGAAGGGCAGUAAGUUAAUACCUUGCUGUUUUGACGUUACCGACAGAAUAAGCACCGGCUAACUUCGUGCCAGCAGCCGCGGUAAUACGAAGGGUGCAAGCGUUAAUCGGAAUUACUGGGCGUAAAGCGCGCGUAGGUGGUUUUGUAAGUUGGAGGUGAAAUCCCCGGGCUCAACCUGGGAACUGCCUCCAAAACUGCAUGACUAGAGUACGGUAGAGGGUAGUGGAAUUUCCUGUGUAGCGGUGAAAUGCGUAGAUAUAGGAAGGAACACCAGUGGCGAAGGCGACUACCUGGACUGAUACUGACACUGAGGUGCGAAAGCGUGGGGAGCAAACAGGAUUAGAUACCCGUGUAGUCC